ensembl:lncRNA
GCUCCUUUGACCUGUCCGAUGAAAUGCUGGUUAUGUUCUACAGUUACUACACACAGGACCAUGUAACACCCCGAAACCCAACUCUUGGGAUCUUAUUGGUAAAGCUAAAUGGGAGGCGUGGAAAGCCUUAGGAAAUGUGUCAAAGGACCAAGCCAUGCUGGAAUAUGUUCAGGAAAUACAGCUGGUUGUAAAGAUUGUAGAGAUGAAGCUCUCUCACACUGAGGUAUCAAUAAAAAAUAGUUUAAACCAGAAACAAUAAAAUGUUUGAUUACAGAUAAUAGAAACCCUCCUGGUCACAGACAGGAUGGCAGAAUUAAUGGACACUCCUGACCCAUUUUAUGAGAUAGUGUUGGAAGGUGAUGAUGAUGAAGAAGAUGACGAGGCUAGUGAAGCAGCACCCUUAUCCACAGGUACUUUUAUGUAAAAGCAUUUAAUCAUUUAAUCUGAGCCCCUUUAAUCAACAUUUUAUAUUUUGAUGAAUUUUCAAACAGGAGACACUAAUGCUGAAAAAACGGAUGAUGCUGCCGCUGAGAAAGUUAAAGAGGGGGAAAGUGAAAUUAAUGGGGAAAAUAUAGAAGAUGACAUGGAGAUGGAGGAGAGAUUCAAGUGCAUUUGCAGCAGGGAGAGAAGAUUUAUCAGUGUUUAAUGGAAGUGAGGAGAACAGCAUGAUCUUCUCAGCUGAUGACGCUCAUUGUUCACUGAACACUGAGGAGGAAGAGGAGGAACUGGCUUAUGAUGACUCGGAAGAUGAGAUGUACAGUGACUCAAUGGAAAAUACAGCAACACAAGAGAAGGGUUCGGGAGUUCCCAGGGUCCAUUUGGCAGAUGUGAGUGUGACUGGGGCCAACAUGCAACAAGGGGGAAACAGAGCGCCUCAGUGUGGGAGUCAGGAUGGAAAACCACAGGGAGUUACACCCCCUGUCCCCCACCCACCGACACUUGGACCGGUCCAAACUAACAGAAUCUCAGCAGGCAGUGGAAGAGGUUGGGCAUGAAUCAGUGUUUGAAUGAGUCUUGAGCACCAUGACGUCAACAAGCAAUUAUGUGAUCAACAAGCCAAUUUUCCAACAGCAUUUGUCUAAACUUACAAUGCGAGUGAAUACUAUUAUACUACUGCUAGGAAUCAUUUCCUAAAAAGGCAAGACUCUAUUCUUUUUGCAUCGUGGCAUUUAUUGUAGUCUUGAUAUUUUUUUCCAUUCAUCACUGAGCUUGGUUUCAUAUAAUAACAAGAAAAAAGUCACACUUUAGAUACUUUGAACUCUGUAAAGCCUGACAUGUGAAAUAAAAGUCAGAAAAAUCUAUUUUUUUAAAUGGCA